AAAACUUCAGUUUAACGUUUCUGCAAUGCAAGCUUGUGAUUUAUGAUUACUCUCUAAGUGGAUAUCAGGAUUGUUAUGAAGACUUAAGGCCCAGUAUUUUUUAAUAGAAUACUCAUCUAGGAUGUAACAGUGAAGCUGAGUAAACUAUAACUGUUAAACUUAAGUUCCAGCUUUUCUCAAGUUAGUUAUAGGAUGUACUUAAGCAGUAAGUGUAUUUAGGUAAAAGCAGUUGAAUUAUGUUAAAUGUUGCCCUUUGCCAUGUUACAUUGAACACUGUUUGGUUGCAUGUUGAAAGACAUGCUUUUAUUUUUUUGUAAAACAAUAUAGGAACUGUGUCUACAAUUAAAAGUGAAACAUUUUGGCAUGUUUGUUAAUUCUAGUUUCAUUUAAUAAUCUGUAAGGCACGUAAGUUUAAGCUUUUUUUUUUUUAAGUUAAUGGGAAAAAUUUGAGACACAAUACCAAUACUUAGGAUUUUGGUCUUGGUGUUUGUAUGAAAUUCUGAGGCCCUGAUUUAAAUCUUUCAUUGUAUUGUGAUUUCCUUUUAGGUAUAUUGCGCUAAGUGAAACUUGUCAAAUAAAUCCUUU
rnacentral:lncRNA from 1 species